rnacentral:rRNA from 1 species
UGGCUCAGAUUGAACGCUGGCGGCAGGCCUAACACAUGCAAGUCGAACGGAAACAUGUCUAGCUUGCUAGAUGAUGUCGAGUGGCGGACGGGUGAGUAAUGCUUGGGAACUUGCCUUUGCGAGGGGGAUAACAGUUGGAAACGACUGCUAAUACCGCAUAAUGUCUUCGGACCAAACGGGGCUUAGGCUCCGGCGCAAAGAGAGGCCCAAGUGAGAUUAGCUAGUUGGUGAGGUAAAGGCUCACCAAGGCAACGAUCUCUAGCUGUUCUGAGAGGAAGAUCAGCCACACUGGGACUGAGACACGGCCCAGACUCCUACGGGAGGCAGCAGUGGGGAAUAUUGCACAAUGGGGGAAACCCUGAUGCAGCCAUGCCGCGUGUGUGAAGAAGGCCUUCGGGUUGUAAAGCACUUUCAGUUGUGAGGAAAAGUUAGUAGUUAAUACCUGCUAGCCGUGACGUAACAACAGAA